GCGCCGCUAGUGUAGUGGGUAUCAUACAAGAUUCCCAUUCUUGUGACCCGGGUUUCGAUUCCCGGGCGGUGCA